GCUGCAGAGAUCAAAAAUUGCACUGCGGAGCAAAUUCCUAAAACUCAACUCCAGGCAGUCAUCCUCUGUGUAAAGCAGCACAGAAGUUGACAGAGCAUCACUCCCAUGGAGCUGCUGACUGCGGAAGAGCUGUCAGCUCCAAGGAGGAGGAGAUACCCUGCAGCUGAAAACGCAUUGCUUCUUUUCCAGGCUUCGAAAGGAAAAUGGAAAGCACAAAAUCCUCCAGAAAAGGAUCUGAAACAAUGGAAGAAGUUAUUGCUCCAUCUACUGCUAGAAGAGCCAUGAAAAGAAGUACAGAACCAGAAAAGCAUCUCAAAUGAUCCUUCUACAGCAUGGAAAUAAAGUAUUUUAUAGCAUAGCUGGAAUAUGUAAGUCAAAUAAAGAAA